GACGAACGCUGGCGGCGUGCUUAACACAUGCAAGUCGAACGGAAAGGCCCUGCUUUUGUGGGGUGCUCGAGUGGCGAACGGGUGAGUAACACGUGAGUAACCUGCCCUUGACUUUGGGAUAACUUCAGGAAACUGGGGCUAAUACCGGAUAGGAGCUCCUGCUGCAUGGUGGGGGUUGGAAAGUUUCGGCGGUUGGGGAUGGACUCGCGGCUUAUCAGCUUGUUGGUGGGGUAGUGGCUUACCAAGGGUUUGACGGGUAGCCGGCCUGAGUGGGUGACCGGCCACAUUGGGACUGAGAUACGGCCCAGACUCCUACGGGAGGCAGCAGUGGGGAAUAUUGCACAAUGGGCGGAAGCCUGAUGCAGCAACGCCGCGUGCGGGAUGACGGCCUUCGGGUUGUAAACCGCUUUCGCCUGUGACGAAGCGUGAGUGACGGUAAUGGGUAAAGAAGCACCGGCUAACUACGUG
rnacentral:rRNA from 1 species